GUCCAGACUCCUACGGGAGGCAGCAGUGGGGGAUAUUGCACAAUGGGGGAAACCCUGAUGCAGCGACGCCGCGUGAGUGAAGAAGUAUUUCGGUAUGUAAAGCUCUAUCAGCAGGGAAGAAAAAAGACGGUACCUGACUAAGAAGCCCCGGCUAACUACGUGCCAGCAGCCGCGGUAAUACGUAGGGGGCAAGCGUUAUCCGGAUUUACUGGGUGUAAAGGGAGCGUAGACGGCAAUACAAGUCGGAAGUGAAAUUCCCGGGCUCAACCUGGGAACUGCUUUGGAAACUGUAUGGCUAGAGUGCUGGAGAGGUAAGCGGAAUUCCUAGUGUAGCGGUGAAAUGCGUAGAUAUUAGGAGGAACACCAGUGGCGAAGGCGGCUUACUGGACAGUAACUGACGUUGAGGCUCGAAAGCGUGGGGAGCAAACAGGAUUAGAUCCCCUGGUA
rnacentral:rRNA from 1 species